AUUGAACGCUGGCGGCAGGCUUAACACAUGCAAGUCGAGCGGGGUGAUGGUGCUUGCACUAUCACUUAGCGGCGGACGGGUGAGUAAUGCUUAGGAAUCUGCCUAUUAGUGGGGGACGACAUCUCAAAAGGGAUGCUAAUACCGCAUACGUCCUACGGGAGAAAGCAGGGGAUCACUUGUGACCUUGCGCUAAUAGAUGAGCCUAAGUCGGAUUAGCUAGUUGGUGGGGUAAAGGCCUACCAAGGCGACGAUCUGUAGCGGGUCUGAGAGGAUGAUCCGCCACACUGGGACUGAGACACGGCCCAGACUCCUACGGGAGGCAGCAGUGGGGAAUAUUGGACAAUGGGGGGAACCCUGAUCCAGCCAUGCCGCGUGUGUGAAGAAGGCCUUAUGGUUGUAAAGCACUUUAAGCGAGGAGGAGGCUACUUUAGUUAAUACCUAGAGAUAGUGGACGUUACUCGCAGAAUAAGCACCGGCUAACUCUGUGCCAGCCGCCGCGGUAA
rnacentral:rRNA from 1 species